rnacentral:tRNA from 1 species
AAGAAAGUGACAGAUUGGUUAUGUGGUUGACUUGAAAUCGGCCGAUGGGGGUUCGAUUCCCUCCUUUCUCG